GUUUGCGUAAAAAACAGGCAGUUUUUCGCGUUUGUGUAUUGUUUUUCCCACAAUUUUCCGUAAAAAACCGUUUGCCCCGCCUAAUGCUUGACGCUGCCGCUUAACAAAGGUAAAAAGACGGUUAAGCCGAUUGGGGCAGUUACUCUAAAACGAUAACAGCGUCUUACCGUAAACCCGAAAGGCUUGGUUUGAUUAAUUUUUUAUGGAAAGUAGUAGAUUUAUGGCAACCGGUACAGUCAAAUGGUUUAACGACGCAAAAGGUUUUGGUUUCAUCACCCCCGACGAAGGCGGCGACGAUCUGUUCGCACACUUCUCCGCCAUCAACAUGGACGGUUUCAAAACCCUGAAAGAAGGCCAAAAGGUCUCCUUCGACGUAACCAGCGGCCCCAAAGGCCUGCAAGCCGCCAACAUCCAGGCAGCGUAAACAGAUAGCCGGCUUGACCGGUUGGAAACACGGCGGGUUUUGCACCCGCCGUUUCUUU
rnacentral:sRNA from 1 species